UCUUGAAAAGUAGCCACGUGUUAACCAAGAAACCACAUUUCAUAUUCUCUUCCUCCUCAUCAAGCAAAAUCUCCGGCGAGAUUGAUCAUCAUUUUGUUUUUGUUACUCACUCUCGAGUUUCAGACAUGGCGGCCGCGAAGCUCGUGGCUUUGUUACUACUCUUCCUCUUCGUUUUCACCACCGGUGUCUUUUCCGACGCCGGUGAAGAACCGACAUCCGCUUCGGAGAUUCAGUUAGAUCAGCUUAAUGCUAAAAUCCGUGCCCUAGAGUCCCAAAUUGAUGAGAAAAGUAGAGAAGUUAAAGGGAGAGAAGAGUUAGUAGCAGAGAUGGAUAAACUUCUCCAUGAGAGACAGGACAAGCUUUCUUCCUUGGAGGCUCAGCUUUCUUCCCUAAGGAAAAAGGGUUCAUCAGAUUCUGUGGAAGUGUUGGAAAAAGCUAAAACAAGAGCUACUGAACUAGAGAAGCAGGUUGAGGUACUUAGGAACUUUCUGGAGCAAAAGAACAAGGAGAAAGAAUCUACAGAAGCUCGGAGUAAUGAAGCUGAGAAAAAGCUAAACGAAUUGAACUCGAGACUGGAGAAACUUCACAGGACAAAGGAAGAGCAGAAGGGCAAAAUACGAAAACUUGAGCGUGCUCUUAAAAUUUCUGAGGAAGAAAUGUUGCGCAUGAGGCAUGAAGCAGCCACAAAGGCUAGGGAACUCCAGGAGGUUCAUGCCUCUUGGCUUCCCCAUUGGCUUGCUGUACACUGGGUUCAUUUCCAGACUGUUUCUUGGACACAUUGGGAUGCCCACGGGAAACCGGUUAUGGAUAAAGUAACUCAAAAGGUAACGCAAGCGAAGACUCAAGCUGAAAAAUGGGCUGAACCGCACAUGGUUAAUGUUAAAACAAAAUAUAUUCCAGCGAUAAAAGAGACUGUGAAAACGCAUGUUGAGCCACACGUACAAACACUAUCUACCAAAGCGAAAGAGGCUUACCAUGCUUCCAAGAGUGCAGUUACUCCACAUAUUGUCAAGUUUCAAGAACAUGUAGAUCCUUAUUACCAGGAGGCCAAAAAGUUUAGCAAGCCAUACGUUGAUCAAGUGGCCACGGCCACAAAACCACAUGUUGAUAAGGUGAGAGCUACCAUGAAGCCUUACACAAAGAAGACUGUUUACUACUACAAAGAGUUUCUUAAAUCUGCCACAACGUAUCACCAUCAGGUUCAAGCUAAUGUCGAAAGAAAAUUGAAGAGCCAUGAGCUGGCCGCACCUUUCGCCACCAAAGAGUUCAUUUGGUUUGUAGCAUCUGCUUUGUUGGCGUUACCCAUCUUCAUAGUGUACAAAUUCCUCUGUUCUCUCUUCUGCACAAAGACGAAGAAGCCUGCUCGACACUCUCAUCGCCAUGCUCGUCGUAGGGCCAAAAGGGAUCAUUCUGACAAGUGAAGUAACAUGAUUUGUACUGUUUCCACUCUGAAUAUUAGUGGUACGUCUUGCUUUCUACUUUAUUAGUCGUCGUGGAGGAUCAUGAGAGCAUGAACAAAGAAUCUGUUGCUACUGAAUUGAUCGAUUGGCUGAGCCAGAACUUACUUGCCAUAGACCGAGUCUCUGGAUAUUGUCUGUCCGGUUUCCAAAUCCUGUAUGCACUUAGUCCCUUUGUUAAAUCCAGAACGAAUUCAACACUUAUGUAGUGUAGAAGUGAUUAGCCACUAGUGACUGAGGUAGUGACAGGUUAUGAGGCGGUCUCUUUGUGUAUCAGCGACAGUCAUAUGUUGCCUAAACAACCCAUGUUAGAGGUAUCCAAGGGUAUGCUUUUUUGUUUUGUUGAAGCUCUCUGUGCAAAAGUGUUUCUUCACUCUCUCUGGAUGCCUUUUGGAUAAAGUUUUCAGUCUUAUAAUACAGAGAAGAUUAUAGACAUAUCCAAAGAGUAAAUCUAGUAAAGUCUUGGUUUGUAUAUUUUGUAAUUCAUGUGGAUGGAUUUGCGGGCUUGUACCACUCUUAUCACUUUCGUCUUCAUUAUCUUUUCCAUUUGGCAACUA